AAGCCGCUGUAUACGCUCUGACGCCUGCCCGGUGCCGGAAGGUUAAGAGGAUCCGUCAGCUUCUGCGAAGCGGUGAAUUCAAGCCCCGGUAAACGGCGGUGGUAACUAUAACCAUCCUAAGGUAGCGAAAUUCCUUGUCGGGUAAGUUCCGACCUGCACGAAUGGCGUAACGACUUCCCCACUGUCUCGACCAGGAGCUCGGCGAAAUUGCAGUACGAGUAAAGAUGCUCGUUAAGCGCAGAAGGACGAAAAGACCCCGGGACCUUUACUAUACCUUGGUAUUGGCAUUAGGCGCGGAUUGUGUAGCAUAGGCGGGAGGCUUCGAGGCGGGUGCGCCAGCAUCCCCGGAGCCGCAAGGUGAAAUACCGCUCUGUUCUCGUUUGAUGUCUAACCUCGAACAGUCAUCCUGUUCAGGGACAGUGCCUGGCGGGUAGUUCAACUGGGGCGGUUGCCUCCCAAAGAGUAACGGAGGCGCUCAAAGGUCCGCUCGGCCCGGUUGGCAAUCGGGUGUCGAGUGUAAUCGCACAAGCGGGCUUGACUGCGAGAUCGACGGAUCGAGCAGGGACGAAAGUCGGAGAUAGUGAUCCGGUGCCGGCGCACGGGCGCGGCAUCGCUCAACGGAUAAAAGGUACCCCGGGGAUAACAGGCUGAUCAUUCCCAAGAGUCCAUAUCGACGGGAUGGUUUGGCACCUCGAUGUCGGCUCGUCGCAUCCUGGGGCUGGAGCAGGUCCCAAGGGUUCGGCUGUUCGCCGAUCAAAGCGGCACGCGAGCUGGGUUCAGAACGUCGUGAGACAGUUUGGUCUCUAUCCUCUGCGCUCGUUGGAAUCUUGAGGAGGCCUGCCCAUAGUACGAGAGGACCUGGGUGGACGAACCUCUGGUAUGCCGGUCGUCACGCCAGUGGCGCGGCCGGUUGGCUACGUUCGGAAGGGAUAACCGCUGAAAGCAUCUAAGCGGGAAGCCUUCUCCAAGAUAAGGAUUCCAUGCGGCCCCGAGCCGCUGAAGACCCCAUGCAGAACACGUGGUCGAUAGGCCGGACGUGGAAGCCCCGCGAGGGGUGGAGCCGACCGGUACUAAUGGUCGAGAGGCAACCCACA
rnacentral:rRNA from 1 species